GAUGAGCGCUAGCGGCAGGCUUAAUACAUGCAAGUCGAGGGACAGCACAGGUAGCAAUACUGGGUGGUAACCGGCAAACGGGUGCGGAACACGUACACAACCUUCCUUUAAGUGGGGGAUAGCCCAGAGAAAUUUGGAUUAAUGCCCCGUAAUAUAGUUGAAUGGCAUCAUUGGAUUAUUAUAGCUACGGCGCUUAAUGAUGGGUGUGCGGCUGAUUAGAUAGUUGGCGGGGUAACGGCCCACCAAGUCUACGAUCAGUAGCUGAUGUGAGAGCAUGAUCAGCCACACGGGCACUGAGACACGGGCCCGACUCCUACGGGAGGCAGCAGUAAGGAAUAUUGGUCAAUGGACGCAAGUCUGAACCAGCCAUGCCGCGUGAAGGAUUAAGGUCCUCUGGAUUGUAAACUUCUUUUAUUUGGGACGAAAAAGGGCCUUUCUAGGUCAACUGACGGUACCAGAUGAAUAAGCACCGGCUAACUCCGUGCCAGCCGCCGCGGUAAAAC
rnacentral:rRNA from 1 species